GUCCUAUGCAACUCUAGGUGUCUCCUGGAGAAGUCCUAGACCCUGGUCACAGGGCUCCCUCAGCUCUCUGAGGAACCUUUCUGCAAUUCUGUCUUGGUAGGAGGCCAAGUCUUUUGUAGUGGGCAUCAAGGUACCUUAAAGAUCCGAUGUCCUCAAAUCAAUGUCCUUUAGAGGUCCUGGGUCUCCUUAUUAGACUGAAAGCUCUUGGCAGGGAGAAACUGGGUUUUCAAUUGCUCCUGUCUUUUCUCAGUCUCCCAAGAGCAGUGCUGAGAAGAAAGCAAGUGUUUGAUAGAUGUGUGUGUGUGUGAAGCAGAGACACAGUGGAGGGACUGCAGAUAGUCCCUCCACUCCCUCUCCAUUCCUUCAGCCUCACUGCCUGGUGCCAGCUGUGCACUUUAGGGCUGCAGUACUGCACAGGUGUACAAGAAGAGGGUGGCUGUGCCACCUCCUCAGGGGCUGUGUGUCACGAGCCAUUCAUGGAUUGCAUGUGGGUCACUGAGCAUGGAAGCCUCGUGGAUAGAGACAUUUGGUGUCUGGGAAUAACCAAAGGACAUUUCCUCUGGUCAAUUGCCCAGGGAAAAUGUGAAUCUUUCCCGCUCUGCAGUGGCCCAGCCCACACAGCACCUAAGAUGGUAUGACCUGCAGAGAUGUCAAGCAACUUGCUGACUUCAAGACAUCAGGAAGCAAGACUCUGCCCUUGAAACCUUGUCCCUGCCUUUGAGGUAUCCCCUUAAAUAAACCACCA
rnacentral:lncRNA from 1 species